CAAAAUUAUUAUACAAAACAGACACAGCACGUCAGUCAGCCAAUGCCAAUGUUUCUACCUAGCCUGAUGAAGCCCAGAGGGAGCAGUCACAGCCCAGUGUCUCCACGAAAAUGCCACUGAACUCGAAAGUGCCCCAAAAAGCUAAUAAAAUGUGAUGAAAAAUGAUGAAACAAGGCAGAAAACAGCUGUGUCUAAAUCCAUCCAGCCAGCUGGGAACCUAGAAUGAGGACUGCUGCAGCUGGACCGAGAGCACGCUGAAUCUUUUAUGCCUAUCCUGCUCCUGUGAUACUGAAGAAGAAUACAAAGAUGUGUCUUUGGUCUCCAGCGCCAGUUUUCUUUCAACCAUCUAACUUUUUGAUUAUGGAAGCAGAACACAAAGCAGUUAUUUGUAAGCUGAAUUGUAAAAAUGCAGGAAUUUAUCAGCAAUAAAGGAGAUUUGCCAAUGCAGCAGACAUUACAAAGUUUAAAGAACCCAAGAAGUAACAUCUGAAGAGCUGAAAUGACGUUAAUAUUGAUUUUUUGAUAACAGCCAUGCUUGACAUCAGUUUGCAGGUCAGUGAACUGAUGAAGCAUUUUCUUGUAAUGAGUCAAAG